UAACACGUGGAUAACCUACCUAUAAGACUGGGAUAACUUCGGGAAACCGGAGCUAAUACCGGAUAAUAUUUUGAACCGCAUGGUUCAAAAGUGAAAGACGGUCUUGCUGUCACUUAUAGAUGGAUCCGCGCUGCAUUAGCUAGAUGGUAAGGUAACGGCUUACCAAGGCAACGAUGCAUAGCCGACCUGAGAUGGUGAUCGGCCACACUGGAACUGAGACACGGUCCAG
rnacentral:rRNA from 1 species